AUAGUCACGUGGCCCAUAUGGGAGGCGGCAGAGAAAUGGGCAGGGAAAAUGCCUCCCUAGUUCCCAGACCUGGAGGUGGACUGAGAACCAGCCACAGCUUAGUGCAUUUGCGGGGAACUGAAAACUGCACAUAACACAAUCACAACGGACAUGGAACCCGGUACCGCUGCCAAAGAUCGAGCCAGACCUGACUGUUGCUAUGGAAAGCCCUCCAAGCUAUGCUUAAGGACCAAGGCAUCAGCCAGCAGCUGGAGACCCAGUUCUGCUGAGUGGCUCUUUCUCCUGGCCCCUCCUGGGCCCUCUGGUCCUGAUCCUACUCUGCUUCUUCAGGAACCACUUUGGACACUUCCUGGAAGAGAAGUAUCCUUCCAAUUGCUAAACAACACCGUGACAUCUGCAGGCCUCUCAGCCCAAAGGUUUGAUUUUCUGAGAAAUUCACUCUGGUGUCUUGGGAAGCUGACUGGCUGCACUGGUUGGCUGCUAUUUCUGGAAGCGUCAGCUAUGAUCAUCCCAAAGCUUUCAUAGUGAGCCACAUGCUUGACUCGUAAGUGCUUUAGGUCAUGAGUUCAAGGAGUGUCUGCCUCUUUCCACGGAGAAUCUCUAGUCAGUGGAAGGGGUACGGAACCCAUCUGCAAAUAAAAAGACAGAGACAAUUAAAAAAAUAAAAGAA
rnacentral:lncRNA from 1 species